GAUGGACAGUAGCGCACAUCGACAUGAUGAGGAAUAUUUUCACUUUUAAUGUUAUCUCUCUACGCAUUAAGGGAUCCUUUAAAGAAAGUGAAUGAAUUUAAAUCAGAAAAAGUUGAGGUUAAAGGAAGAUCUUAACCGUCAACUAAACAUAUCUAACUUUGGCCUAAACACGCUACCUGUCCUGAUACACGAAGCAUACCAUGAUACACAAACACAGAAGUUGAAUAAACAGGUAAUUUUAAUAUCAUUUUUAUAUCUUUUAUAUAUUUAUGCUAUCACCAGUUAUAAGGAAAUACAUAUAAAUGAUGUAAACAUUUAAUUUUACAUACAAUUUUAAUUUUAUAAAUAUGUUACUAAAUAAAGUCGUCAUAUAUUUUGAUUAUAAACUUUUCAAAAAUUAUAUUUGUUCACUCUAAGUGUUUUGUCACGUUACAAACAUGUACAAACGACAAAACAUCGACAAACAUUUACAUGUGCAUGUUAUUAUCUUAUCUCUCUAAGGAACGAGUUAAAAUAGAAUAUUUCUAACAAUGUUAACCUUUUAAUCCUAGAUUGUAAUUAUAAAUAAAAUUGAGAAUGGAAACGGGGAAUGUUUCAAAGAGACAACAGCUCGACCAAAGAGCAGAAAACAGCUCAAGGCCACCAAUGGGUCUUCAACACAGCGAGAAAAUCCCGCACCUGGAGGCGGGCUUUAGCUGGCCCCUAAACAAUAAUGUAUAUUGGUUCAGAGAAAAUGUAUACACACUUCAUACAUAUAAUUCUUAUAGUUUUGCUCAUUGCGUGUGUUGCUAUCCCUAACUUGGAAAACAAAAUAUACCAGUGCAGUUCAAGAUUCAUUAAAACCAGUUCAGUUACUUACAAAACUCUCCAAGAUAAAACAGUAAGCUUGGGUCACUGACAUCACCUUCAAAUAAAGAUAUUUUUUUUAAUGAUGCUUCACCUAAUUAUGUUUUCACCUUGACGUUGAUUUAAUAAAGAAGAGAAGAGAACUCUUCAUUUUUUCGGCUGAGGUGUUCAAGUAUAUAUGAAAGUUGCACUUCUGACGGGACAUUUUUUAACUACUAAUGUAGGUUCAUUAUGAUAAGAUGAAACGUCAUAACUUAACCAUCCUGUUGACAAUUAAAUAAGACAGUACUAUUGUUUUUGUUUAUGACACGUGACAGAAUGACAACUUAUCUUAUUUAUUUCAGUGAAGUAUAAUGUAUGAUCCAUAAACCCCUUCAUUGUUUUUUAAGCACAACACGUACAUUAUCAAUGGUAACGACCAUUUCUGAGGAGAAAAAAAAUAAAAUAAAACGCGCAAUCGUACGAUAAAAAUUAGUACUCUAUAAGUGUUUUUACGUUGUUACAGUAUACAUGCACUAAAACAAGAAACUAUGACAAAGUUUGAAAACGCAUACGUUGCAGACUUGAAUACACUGAUAUUGUUUAAAAACAUAUUGAUAAAUUUGAAAUUGAAUUUAAAUCAGAGCGAUAUAUAUUUAUGACAUUUACGCUAAGAUCUUAAAUAUUAUUUUUCCUCGUGCACGAAUUCUACGCCUUUAAUCAAUCAAAUAAAGUGAUGUAAUUUCUACAGAAAGAAGAAAAAAAAAAAGAAAAAAAAAAAAAGAAAA